CCUAAUACAUGCAUGUCGAGCGGAACGCUUGCGUUCAGCGGCAAAUGGGUGAGUAAUGCGUACCUAAUCUGCCUUUUAGUUUGGGAUAACAAUUGGAAACGAUUGCUAAUACCGAAUAUUCUUGGAAUCGCAUGAUUCUGUAGUGAAAGGGGCGUUUGCCUCGCUAGAAGAUGAGGGUGCGUUACAUUAGUUAGUUGGUAAGGUAAUGGCUUACCAAGACGAUGAUGUAUAGCGGGGUUGAGAAGCUGAUCCGCCACACUGGGACUGAGAUACGGCCCAGACUCCUACGGGAGGCAGCAGUAGGGAAUAUUCCACAAUGAGCGAAAGCUUGAUGGAGCGACACAGCGUGCAGGAUGAAGGCCUUCGGGUUGUAAACUGCUGUUAUAAGGGAUGAACAACUAGUGUAGGAAAUGACAUUAGCCUGACAGUACCUUAUCAGAAAGCACCGGCAAACUAUGUGCCAGCAGCCGCGGUAAUACAUAGGGUGCAAGCAUUAUCCGGAAUUAUUGGGCGUAAAGCGUUUGUAGGUGGUUUAUUAAGUCCAAAGUUAAAUUCUAAGGCUCAACUUUAGCACGCUUUGGAUACUGGUAAACUAGAAUCAUAGAGAGGUCAACGGAACUCCAUGUGGAGCGGUGGAAUGCGUAGAUAUAUGGAAGAACACCAAUGGCGAAGGCAGUUGACUGGAUAUGUAUUGACACUCAGAGACGAAAGCGUGGGGAGCAAACAGGAUUAGAUACCCUGGUAGUCCACGCUGUAAACGAUGAUCGUUAGUCGAUGGAAUAAUUCAUUGACUCAGCUAACGCAUUAAACGAUCCGCCUGAGUAGUAUGCUCGCAAGAGUGAAAC
rnacentral:rRNA from 1 species